GAGGGGAUACCGGGACCGGGAAUGGGGGUUUGAAUGGAUAUCGGGACCGGGAAUGGGCUGUGAGGGGAUACCGGGACCGGGAAUGGGGUACGAGGGGACACGGGGACCGGGAGGGCCACCGGGACUGCCAUCAGCACCGGCAGCAGCUUCGGGGAGGGGAAAGAAACGACAGCGGGGAGCACCGGGUGGAACCGGGACGGCGGAUAACCCUGCUCGGGGUGGGGAUGAGCAGAACCGAGAGAGUGAGAGAGGCCCCGGGACCGGCCCGAGGCGAAGCGGGCCGGGCAGCACCGGGACCGGCCCGAGGCGAAGCGGGCCGGGCAGCACCGGGACCGGCCCGAGGCGAAGCGGGCCGGGCAGCACCGGCCCCGGGCAGAGCGGUGUCGCCGUUGCCCGCAGCGGGCCGGGGGCGCCAUGGCGGGCCGGGGGCGCGGCCGGGGCCGGGGGCAGAUGACGUUCAACGUGGAGGCCGUGGGCAUCGGGAAGGGCGACGCGCUGCCGCCGCCCACCCUGCAGCCCGCGCCGCUCUUCCCGGUGCUGGAGCGCCGCGCCGCGCCGCUGCCCGGGGGCGAGGAGGCCGAGUACAUGCUGGCCCUGAAGCAGGAGCUGCGCCGGGCCAUGAAGGGGCUCCCGUACUUCGUCAAACCGGGGGCGCCCCGCAGAGACAUCGAGCGCUACUCUGACAAGUACCAGCUCUCCAGCCCUGUGGACAACGCCAUCGACUGGAACCCAGACUGGCGGCGGCUGCCGCGCGAGCUGCGGAUCCGCGUGCGGCGCCCGCGCAGGGGCCGCACCCCUGGCCCUGUCCCCAAGCAGCAGGUGGCACUGGACAAGGAGGAGGCCAUCAGGAAGCUGGAGAGCCUGGAGAAGAAGGAGGAGGAGGUGACAUCCGAGGAGGAGGAGGAGAAGGAGGAGGAGGAAGAGGGCAAGGAGGAGGAGGAGGAGGAGUACGAUGAGGAGGAGCACGAGGAGGAGACCGACUACGUGCUGUCCUACUUCGACAACGGCGAGAGCUUCGGGCCCGACAGCGACGACAACGGCGACGAGGCCGUGUACUGACCCCGAAGAGAAAGGGGCACCCCGAAAAGGGGCACCCCAAAUGGGCACCCCGAAAAUGGCACCCCGAAAAUGGCACCCCGAAAAUGGGCACCUCUGUGGGUACCCCGAAAAUGGGCACUGACCCCAAUGGCACCCCGAAAAUGGGCACCUCUGUGGGUACCCCAAAUGGGCACCUCUGUGGGUACCCCGAAAAUGGGCACUGAACCCAAUGGCACCCCGAAAAGGGCACCCCAAAAAUGGGCACCCCGAAAAUGGGCACUGACCCCAAUGGCACCCCGAAAAUGGGCACCUCUGUGGGUACCCCGAAAAUGGCACCCCGAAAAUGGCACCCUGAAAAUGGCACCCCGAAAAUGGGCACUGACCCCAAUGGCACCCCGAAAAUGGGCACCCCUGUGGGUACCCCAAAUGGGCACUGACCCUGAAAAUGGCACCCCGAAAAUGGGCACCCCAAAUGGGCACUGACCCCAAUGGCACCCUGAAAAUGGGCACCUCUGUGGGUACCCCUGUGGGUACCCCGAAAAUGGCAUCCCGAAAAUGGCACCCCGAAAAUGGCACCCCGAAAAUGGCACCCCGAAAAUGGGCACCACGAAAAUGGGCACUGACCCCAAUGGCACCCCGAAAAUGGGCACCUCUGUGGGUACCCCAAAUGGGCACCUCUGUGGGUACCCCUGUGGGUACCCCGAAAAUGGCACCUCAAAAAUGGGCACUGAACCCAAUGGCACCCCGAAAAGGGGCACCUCUGUGGGUACCCCUGUGGGUACCCCGAAAAUGGCACCCCGAAAAUGGCACCCCGAAAAUGGGCACUGACCCCAAUGGCACCCCGAAAAUGGGCACUGACCCCAAUGGCACCCCGAAAAUGGGCACCUCAAAAAUGGGCACCCCAAAUGGGCACUGACCCCAAUGGCACCCCGAAAAUGGGCACCUCUGUGGGUACCCCUGUGGGUACCCCGAAAAUGGCACCCCGAAAAUGGGCACUGACCCCAAUGGCACCCCGAAAAUGGGCACUGACCCCAAUGGCACCCCGAAAAUGGGCACUGACCCCAAUGGCACCCUGAAAAGGGGCACCUCUGUGGGUACCCCUGUGGGUACCCCGAAAAUGGGCACUGACCCCAAUGGCACCCCCAAAUGGGCACCCCUGUGGGUACCCCAAAUGGGCACUGACCCCGAUGGCACCCCGAAAAUGGGCACCUCAAAAAUGGGCACCCCAAAUGGGCACUGACCCCAAAACGGGCACUGCCCCCCAGGUGUCAUUGGGGUCCCCUUGGGGACACUGGGGUCCUGGUCCCUGCCUUGGGGACAUUGAGGUGACAUUGGGGUCCCUGUCCCCACCUUGGUGACACUGGGGUGACCUUGGGGUCUCUGUCCCCCCCUUGGGGACACUGGGGUGACAUUGGGGUCCCUCUUCCCCCCUGGGGACCCUGGGGUGACAUUGGGAUCCCUCUCCCCCCUUGGGGACACUGGGGUGACAUUGGGGUCCCUGUCCCCCCCUUGGGGACACUGGUGUGACACUGAGGUCCCUGUUCCCCCCCUGGGGACACUGGGGUGACCUUGGGAUCCCUCUCCCCCCCUUGGGGACACUGGGGUGACAUUGGGGUCCCUCUCCCCCCCUUGGGGACACUGGGGUGACAUUGAGGUCUCUGUCACGACACUGGGGUGACUUUGGGGUCUCUGUCCCCCCUUGGUGACACUGGGGUGACAUUGGGGUCCCUGUCCCCCCCUUGGGGACACUGGGGUGGCAUUGGGGUCCCUGCCCCCCCACUGGGGUCCCCGUCCCCCCCUUGGUGACCCUGGUGUCCCCUUUCCUGUCAUUCCCCUUGUCACCACCAGGUGGCGCCGGUGCUCCAGGCCCGGAGCGUGGGGCGCGACCCCCCCCCAAAUUUUGGGGCUUUUUUGGGUGGAUUUUGUGCGAAAUUCAAAUUAUUUUUGCUA